ensembl:snRNA U6 U6 spliceosomal RNA
GUGCUUGCUUCAGCAGCACAUAUAAUAAAAUUGGAAUGAUACAGAGAUUAGCAUGGCCCCUGCACAAGUAUGACAUGGAAAUUCAUGAAGCAUUCCAUAUUUAA